AAAGACUAGAAUGAAUGGCUAAACGAGGUUCUAUCUGUCUCUUACAAACAAUCAGUGAAAUUGAUCUCCCCGUGCAAAAGCGGGAAUAACCCCAUAAGACGAGAAGACCCUGUGGAACUUUAAGUAUAGGUCACAAUCAUCAACCAACUAUUCAACAGAAAACACCCUAUAAAACACCUGACUUAAAACUUUCGGUUGGGGCGACCUCGGAGGAUAAUAAAACCCCCGAAAAUUACUACCAAGAUAGCACAAAUCUAAGUGUCUACGACAAAACGAUCCAAUAUACAUGAUCAACGAACCAAGCUACCCCAGGGAUAACAGCGCAAUCCCCUCUUAGAGUCCAUAUCAAUGACGGGGGU
rnacentral:rRNA from 1 species